rnacentral:rRNA from 1 species
GACGAACGCUGGCGGCGUGCUUAACACAUGCAAGUCGAACGGAAAGGCCCUGCUUUUGUGGGGUGCUCGAGUGGCGAACGGGUGAGUAACACGUGAGUAACCUGCCCUUGACUUUGGGAUAACUUCAGGAAACUGGGGCUAAUACCGGAUAGGAGCUCCUGCUGCAUGGUGGGGGUUGGAAAGUUUCGGCGGUUGGGGAUGGACUCGCGGCUUAUCAGCUUGUUGGUGGGGUAGUGGCUUACCAAGGCUUUGACGGGUAGCCGGCCUGAGAGGGUGACCGGCCACAUUGGGACUGAGAUACGGCCCAAACUCCUACGGGAGGCAGCAGUGGGGAACAUUGCACAAUGGGCGGAAGCCUGAUGCAGCAACGCCGCGUGCGGGAUGACGGCCUUCGGGUUGUAAACCGCUUUCGCCUGUGACGAAUCGUGAGUGACGGUAAUGGGUAAAGAAGCACCGGCUAACUACGUGCCAGCAGCCGCGGUGAUACGUAGGGUGCGAGCGUUGUCCGGAUUUAUUGGGCGUAAAGGGCUCGUAGGUGGUUGAUCGCGUCGGAAGUGUAAUCUUGGGGCUUAACCCUGAGCGUGCUUUCGAUACGGGUUGACUUGAGGAAGGUAGGGGAGAAUGGAAUUCCUGGUGGAGCGGUGGAAUGCGCAGAUAUCAGGAGGAACACCAGUGGCGAAGGCGGUUCUCUGGGCCUUUCCUGACGCUGAGGAGCGAAAGCGUGGGGAGCGAACAGGCUUAGAUACCCUGGUAGUCCACGCUGUAAACGGUGGGUACUAGGUGUGGGGUCCAUUCCACGGGUUCCGUGCCGUAGCUAACGCUUUAAGUACCCCGCCUGGGGAGUACGGCCGCAAGGCUAAAACUCAAAGGAAUUGACGGGGCCCCGCACAAGCGGCGGAGCAUGCGGAUUAAUUCGAUGCAACGCGUAGAACCUUACCUGGGUUUGACAUGGAUCGGGAGUGCUCAGAGAUGGGUGUGCCUCUUUUGGGGUCGGUUCACAGGUGGUGCAUGGCUGUCGUCAGCUCGUGUCGUGAGAUGUUGGGUUAAGUCCCGCAACGAGCGCAACCCUUGUUCACUGUUGCCAGCACGUUAUGGUGGGGACUCAGUGGAGACCGCCGGGGUCAACUCGGAGGAAGGUGGGGAUGACGUCAAGUCAUCAUGCCCCUUAUGUCCAGGGCUUCACGCAUGCUACAAUGGCUGGUACAGAGAGUGGCGAGCCUGUGAGGGUGAGCGAAUCUCGGAAAGCCGGUCUCAGUUCGGAUUGGGGUCUGCAACUCGACCUCAUGAAGUCGGAGUCGCUAGUAAUCGCAGAUCAGCAACGCUGCGGUGAAUACGUUCCCGGG